CCUACGGGAGGCAGCAGUGAGGAAUAUUGGUCAAUGGGCGAGAGCCUGAACCAGCCAAGUCGCGUGAGGGAAGACGGUCCUAUGGAUUGUAAACCUCUUUUGCCGGGGAGCAAAAAGCGGUACGUGUACCGCAUCGAGAGUACCCGGAGAAAAAGCAUCGGCUAACUCCGUGCCAGCAGCCGCGGUAAUACGGAGGGUGCGAGCGUUAAUCGGAAUUACUGGGCGUAAAGCGCUCGUAGGCGGUAUGUCAAGUCAAGGGUGAAAUCCCCGCGCUCAACGUGGGAACUGCCUUUGAAACUGGCAAACUGGAGUGUGUGAGAGGAUAGUGGAAUUCCAGGUGUAGGAGUGAAAUCCGUAGAUAUCUGGAGGAACAUCAGUGGCGAAGGCGACUAUCUGGCACAUAACUGACGCUGAGGAGCGAAAGCGUGGGUAGCAAACAGGAUUAGAUACCCCGGUAGUC
rnacentral:rRNA from 1 species